rnacentral:rRNA from 1 species
UACGUAGGGGGCAAGCGUUGUCCGGAUUUAUUGGGCGUAAAGAGCGUGUAGGCGGCUUUACAGGUCCGUUGUGAAAACUCGAGGCUCAACCUCGAGACGCCGGUGGAAACCGUAAGGCUAGAGUCCGGAAGAGGAGAGUGGAAUUCCUGGUGUAGCGGUGAAAUGCGCAGAUAUCAGGAAGAACACCCGUGGCUAAGGCGGCUCUCUAGUACGGUACUGACGCUGAGACGCGAAAGCGUGGGGAGCGAAACAGG